rnacentral:lncRNA from 1 species
AAACGACAAUCAGGAAACGAACUCUCAGUGGCGGUGGUGCGUAGAACAUUAUGCUAAGGCCCAGAACUGAUCAGAGAAUUUGUUCACCACCGUCUCCAGGCAGCAACGCCAAGGGCAAGUCUGAUCUCAGCACCCACGAGCCACAUCCUGGGCCAAGCAACAGUAACCCUUGCCAAGCAACGACGGGGUAGAAUUUCUAUGUUCCCAAAUUCAGCAGUAACGUCCACAUGGGACCUUUUCACGUGACUCUGUGGGGCUUCUUUCUCCUUUUCACUUUCCCCUUUAACCCAUGUCUGACUUAGUGCUGCCUGUGUUGGUAAGAGUCAGCAAGUGCCCUUAGGAAGCCACACGGAGGGGAUGCUGGGAGUCCUGACAUAUGAAUCUAUUUAUUAUGUAGUACUGUGGCAGAGAAGGAAUCCAGGGGCCUGCACUGAUCGGGUAGCAGCUACUUUGCCUGUCCUUGGCCGUCUCCCUCAGCUCUGCCUGGGCUCCGAGGGAGAUGGAAGUCCGUCAGGGAACAGGUAGUUCUAAGUGCGUGGCUAAAUGAUUUGGACAAGCUCCUGUGUGUGCUGAGACCUGGCUGGCCAGCUGCUAGAGGGGAAAAACAAUUAAGACAAUGGAAAAGGAAAAAGGAAUGAAGGAACCUCCCUCCCUGAAAGCUUUUCCUGCUUCUGAGACUGUGUUCAGCCCUUUCCCCUAUAAAUUGAUAGGAACUGUGUGUCCACCUUUCCAAAGAAAGGAAAGACAAAAAGAGUUUCCAGAUUGGCCCAGCUGCUGAUAGGUGAUUUUUUUUGCCCAUGAAUCAUGUAUCUCUUAGAGAAGAAAAUUCUAUGCCCUACCACAUCACAAGAUCUCCUCCUCAGUGUCUGUCUGUCUGUCUGUCUGUCUGCCUGGCAUCUGAUGGGUCAGGUCAAGCCCGUGCUGGUUUUGACUAAGGGUAGAGACUAAGGGGAGACUUGUUUUUCUGAAGUAGACUGCUUUCACUCGGCCUGAUGGACAAGCCCGCGUGUGUUCACGUCUGUGUGUAACUCACCCAGAGCAGAUCUGUGAGUCUCGAUGUGCUUUGUAAUCUCUGCUUGAGUGUUGCCCAUACUGGGCUGUGGCUUUGAAGGUCAUUUGCACAAGAGCACGUGACCCAGAGAUGGAGAAGUGAGGUUCAGGGAGGGUGCUUAGAGACCAGCCUGUUCUUUGAGCUGUAGAGACUCAUGCUGGAUUCAAACUGAGAACCCUGGAAGGAAGGCCAGGCUAGUUUAGGGCUCAGCGCGUCUCACCAGAGCCCUUCCAUACUCUGUGACUCUCAGUGUGAAUUGGAAUGCAAUUCUUUCCCUAAAAUGUGUGGAAAAGGCCACAUCAUGAGGACUGGUGUGAGUUGGGGUAGGGUCCCCAGAGUCUCAGGAAAGAAGCUAGAUCACACUGAUUCUCCUGCCGUGGAUAUGAGUUAAAACCAAGUGGUAAAGCACUUGGAUUCACCCCCAAUGACCACUCAGCACAAAAUGCAGAAAUUCCUUCUGAAGGACUAAAGCGACCAGCUGUCUGCCACACCUGCAGUAACACAGAGCAACAGAUUCCCAGCCCGUGAUGAGAGCCUGUAGCUCGUGACACACUUCUUUGGGUUACUCUGCUACAUUUCUGUAAGAGAGUUAAGUCUGAGAACUAGUCUCGCAAGUGUAUCUGUUAGUACACUCUGCAAGAGGACUGGACUGCUGGCCUAGGUAUAUGGAUCUCACGCCUCUUGGGGAGACAGAUUGCAAAAAUGGGUUCCCUGCAUGUCUCCGGCUUCUUCCCAUGUUCUCAUUGUUUUUCUCUAGCUACCCUACUCAUCACUGGCUCCCUCAGCACCAGGCCUGUAUAACGUGGUUCUCACGUUACCCUGGCAGCAUACAGGAUGGGGAGUCUGGUGUAUUCAGUGUUCACAGUCAGCAGACAUGGUGACCUGGUGGGAGACUUUAUUUAUCCAGUGUGGUGAUAGCAUGACCCUCCAUGCUUCUUACUGGUUAAUGCUAUUUCUCACAAUGAUGCAGAUUAGGAAAAUUGAAGUAUUCAGGAAACAGGGGUGGUUGCUAAGGUUCCGUACCUGCUCUUUAUAAAUUUAUAGUGGCUUUAUCCUGACAUAGGAAAGUUCAGCUGCAGGGGAGGAGGAGGAGACAGUCUUCCUCUUUAAGUUACAGAGAGCCGUAAGCUAAAGGACCUGCCUAGGAUUAUAAUAUUUGAAGAAUGAACUUUUAAAUUCUUGCAAUAACGAAACCCUGCCUCCUUGACUAUUUGAACUCAGUUCUCCAUCUAAACUGGGAAAAAAAACAAACAAAG